GUGAAUCAUCAAAUUUUUGAACGCAAAUUGCACUCUCUGGUAUUCCGGAGAGUAUGCCUGUUUGAGGGUAAUUAAAAAGAAUAUUUAACCAGUUUCUUUGGUCAAAGGAAAUGAGUUUUCCGCGUUUAUAGCGGUAGUUUGAAAUGAAUGGUAAAGUCUCAUUUUAGUCGAGUCGCGGAAUAAUAUUAUUUUGUGAUUUCUUUAUUAUGUUAUUAA
rnacentral:misc_RNA from 1 species